AGUGAACGCUGGCGGUAGGCCUAACACAUGCAAGUCGAACGGCAGCACAGUAAGCGCUUGCUCCUACGGGUGGCGAGUGGCGGACGGGUGAGGAAUACAUCGGCAUCUACUUUUUCGUGGGGGAUAACGUAGGGAAAAUUACGCUAAUACCGCAUACGACCUACGGGUGAAAGCAGGGGAUCUUCGGACCUUGCGCGAUUGAUUGAGCCGAUGUCGGAUUAGCUAGUUGGCGGGGUAAAGGCCCACCAAGGCGACGAUCCGUAGCUGGUCUGAGAGGAUGAUCAGCCACACUGGAACUGAGACACGGUCCAGACUCCUACGGGAGGCAGCAGUGGGGAAUAUUGGACAAUGGGCGCAAGCCUGAUCCAGCCAUACCGCGUGGGUGAAGAAGGCCUUCGGGUUGUAAAGCCCUUUUGUUGGGAAAGAAAAGCAGCAGAUUAAUACCCCGCUGUUCUGACGGUACCCAAAGAAUAAGCACCGGCUAACUUCGUG
rnacentral:rRNA from 1 species